rnacentral:rRNA from 1 species
CGCGUAGGCGGCAUGUUAAGUCAGAGGUGAAAGAUCGGAGCUCAACUCCGAAACUGCCUUUGAUACUGGCAAGCUUGAAUUAGGUUGAGGUUAGCGGAAUGUGACAUGUAGCGGUGAAAUGCUUAGAUAUGUCAUAGAACACCAAUUGCGAAGGCAGCUAACUAGGCCUAUAUUGACGCUCAGGCACGAAAGCGUGGGGAGCGAACAGGAUUAGAUACCCUGGUAGUCC